rnacentral:rRNA from 1 species
UCAUUACUGAGUGAGGGCCCUCUGGGUCCAACCUCCCACCCGUGUUUAUUGUACCUUGUUGCUUCGGCAGGCCCGCCUCACGGCCGCCGGGGGGCUUCUCGCCCCCGGGCCCGCGCCUGCCGGAGACACCUUUGAACGCUGUCUGAAGUUUGCAGUCUGAGCGAUUAGCUAAAUUAGUUAAAACUUUCAACAACGGAUCUCUUGGUUCCGGCAUCGAUGAAGAACGCAGCGAAAUGCGAUAAUUAAUGUGAAUUGCAGAAUUCAGUGAAUCAUCGAGUCUUUGAACGCACAUUGCGCCCCCUGGUAUUCCGGGGGGCAUGCCUGUCCGAGCGUCAUUGCUGCCCUCAAGCCCGGCUUGUGUGUUGGGCCUCGUCCCCCCUCUGCGGGGGACGGGCCCGAAAGGCAGCGGCGGCACCGUGUCCGGUCCUCGAGCGUAUGGGGCUUUGUCACCCGCUCUGUAGGCCCGGCCGGCGCCUUAGCCGACGACACAAUCUUUUUUUUCAGGUUGACCUCGGAUCAGGUAGGGAUACCCGCUGAACUUAAGCAUAUCAAUAAGCGGAGGA